AAGACUAUAGACCUGCGGAGUACCUGCGGAGGGAUCAUUACAGAGUUCGCGCCCCCUGGGCGGACCUCCAACCCAUUGUUAUUGCUACGAUUGUUGCUUUGGCGGGCUCGCCCGCCAGAGGCCCUGUAGACUCUGGAUAUGAACGUCGUCUGAGUACUAUAUAAUCGCUAAAACUUUCAACAACGGAUCUCU
rnacentral:misc_RNA from 1 species